CAGGGAAUCUUCGGCAAUGGGGGCAACCCUGACCGAGCAACGCCGCGUGAGUGAAGAAGGUUUUCGGAUCGUAAAGCUCUGUUGUAAGUCAAGAACGAGUGUGAGAGUGGAAAGUUCACACUGUGACGGUAGCUUACCAGAAAGGGACGGCUAACUACGUGCCAGCAGCCGCGGUAAUACGUAGGUCCCGAGCGUUGUCCGGAUUUAUUGGGCGUAAAGCGAGCGCAGGCGGUUUGAUAAGUCUGAAGUUAAAGGCUGUGGCUUAACCAUAGUACGCUUUGGAAACUGUUUAACUUGAGUGCAAAAGGGGAGAGUGGAAUUCCAUGUGUAGCGGUGAAAUGCGUAGAUAUAUGGAGGAACGCCGGUGGCGAAAGCGGCUCUCUGGUCUGUAACUGACGCUGAGGCUCGAAAGCGUGGGGAGCGAACAGGAUUAGAUACCCUGGUAGUCCACGCCGUAACGAUGAGUGCUAGGUGUUGGAUCCUUUCCGGGAUUCAGUGCCGCAGCUAACGCAUUAAGCACUCCGCCUGGGGAGUACGACCGCAAGGUUG
rnacentral:rRNA from 1 species